UACGUAGGGUGCGAGCGUUGUCCGGAAUUAUUGGGCGUAAAGAGCUCGUAGGCGGUGUGUCGCGUCGGCCGUGAAAACCUGGGGCUCAACUCUGGGCGUGCGGUCGAUACGGGCAUCACUGGAGUUCGGCAGGGGAGACUGGAAUUCCUGGUGUAGCGGUGAAAUGCGCAGAUAUCAGGAGUAACACCGGUGGCGAAGGCGGGUCUCUGGGCCGAUACUGACGCUGAGGAGCGAAAGCAUGGGUAGCGAACAGG
rnacentral:rRNA from 1 species